GCCUGGCCGUAAACUUUUAAUUACACCCCAAUCGCCCGGGAACUACAAGCAAAGCUUAAAACCCAAAGGACUUGACGGUACCCCAUAUCCCCCUAGAGGAGCCUGUCCUAUAAUCGAUAACCCCCGUUUAACCUCACCAUUUUUAGUUUAUCAGCCUGUAUACCUCCGUCGUCAGCUUACCACGUGAGCGAAACCCAGUGAGCUUAAUGCCUAUACACCAAUACGUCAGGUCAAGGUGCAGCAAAUGAAAUGGGAAGAGAUGGGCUACACUUUCUAAUGUAGAAAAUACGAAAAACUAUUUAUGAAACCUAGUCAGAAGGCGGAUUUAGCAGUAAAAAGAAACUAGAGCGUUCUUUUUAACCUUGG
rnacentral:rRNA from 1 species